rnacentral:rRNA from 1 species
UACGGGGGGGAGCAAGCGUUGUUCGGAUUUACUGGGCGUAAAGGGCGCGUAGGCGGUCAGUGCAAGUCAGUUGUGAAAUCUCCGGGCUUAACUCGGAACGGUCAACUGAUACUGCUCGACUAGAGUGCGGAAGGGGCAACUGGAAUUCUUGGUGUAGCGGUGAAAUGACGUAGAUAUCAAGAGGAAGACCAGUGGCGAAGGCGGGUCUCUAGACAGUUCCUGACACUGAGAGCACGAAGGACCAGGGGGAGCAAAACGGG